rnacentral:rRNA from 1 species
AGAGUUUGAUCCUGGCUCAGAACGAACGCUGGCGGCAGGCCUAACACAUGCAAGUCGAACGAUGCCUUCGGGCGUAGUGGCGCACGGGUGAGUAACACGUGGGAACAUACCUUUUGGUGGGGGAUAACUUCGGGAAACUGAAGCUAAUACCGCAUACGCCCCUUGGGGGAAAGAUUUAUCGCCGAAAGAUUGGCCCGCGUCCGAUUAGCUAGUUGGUGAGGUAAUGGCUCACCAAGGCUCCGAUCGGUAGCUGGUCUGAGAGGAUGACCAGCCACACUGGGACUGAGACACGGCCCAGACUCCUACGGGAGGCAGCAGUGGGGAAUAUUGGACAAUGGGCGCAAGCCUGAUCCAGCCAUGCCGCGUGAGUGAUGAAGGCCUUAGGGUUGUAAAGCUCUUCACCCACGACGAUGAUGACGGUAGUG